rnacentral:rRNA from 1 species
GGCGAACGCUGGCGGCGUGCUUAACACAUGCAAGUCGAACGGAAAGGCCCUGCUUUUGCGGGGUGCUCGAGUGGCGAACGGGUGAGUAACACGUGAGUAACCUGCCCUUGACUUUGGGAUAACUUCAGGAAACUGGGGCUAAUACCGGAUAGGAGCUCCUGCUGCAUGGUGGGGGUUGGAAAGUUUCGGCGGUUGGGGAUGGACUCGCGGCUUAUCAGCUUGUUGGUGGGGUAGUGGCUUACCAAGGCUUUGACGGGUAGCCGGCCUGAGAGGGUGACCGGCCACAUUGGGACUGAGAUACGGCCCAGACUCCUACGGGAGGCAGCAGUGGGGAAUAUUGCACAAUGGGCGGAAGCCUGAUGCAGCAACGCCGCGUGCGGGAUGACGGCCUUCGGGUUGUAAACCGCUUUCGCCUGUGACGAAGCGUGAGUGACGGUAAUGGGUAAAGAAGCACCGGCUAACUACGUG